UGGUUAAAAAGCUCGUAGUUGGAUCUCGGCGGUCUGAGGGCGGUUCGCUUGAUUGAGUGCUACUGCUCUAUAGGCCGUGGUUUUGCCAGAGGUCUCGGGGUGCUCUUAACCGAGUGUCCUGCGAUGCUGGCAGGUUUACUUUGAAAAAAUUAGAGUGCUCAAAGCAGGCUUUUACGCCUGAAUAUUCGUGCAUGGAAUAAUAGAAUAGGAAGUCGUUUCUAUUUUGUUGGUUUUCGGAAAUCGACUUAAUGAUUAAUAGGGACAGUCGGGGGCAUUUGUAUUCAAACGACAGAGGUGAAAUUCUUGGACCGUUUGAAGACAAACUACUGCGAAAGCAUUUGCCAAGAAUGUUUUCAUUAAUCAAGAACGAAAGUUAGAGGUUCGAAGGCGAUUAGAUACCGCCCUAGUUCUAACCAUAAACGAUGCCAGCUAGCGAUCUGCCGACGUUUUCUUUGUAGACUCGGCAGGAAGCUUCCGGGAAACCAAAGCAUUUGGGUUCCAGGGGAAGCAUGGUUGCAAAGCUGAAACUUAAAGGAAUUGACGGAAGGGCACCACCAGGAGUGGAGCCUGUGGCUUAAUUUGACUCAACACGGGAAAUCUCACCAGGCCCGGACACUGGAAGGAUUGACAGA
rnacentral:rRNA from 1 species